rfam:Nicotiana attenuata strain TT chromosome 12, whole genome shotgun sequence.
UUCUCAGUGUUUCCUUAAGGCGUAACGAUCUGGGCACUGUCUCGGAGAGAGGUGAACGGCGGCCGUAACUAUAACGGUCCUAAGGUAGCGAAAUUUCUUGUCGGGUAAGUUCCGACCCGCACGAAA